rnacentral:rRNA from 1 species
CCUACGGGUGACAGCAGUGAGGAAUAUUGGUCAAUGGACGAGAGUCUGAACCAGCCAAGUCGCGUGAAGGAUGACUGUCCUAUGGGUUGUAAACCUCUUUUAUCUGGGAAUAAAAUGCUCCACUCGUGCGGUUCUGUGUGUACCCUAUGAAUAAGCAUCGGCUAACUCCGUGCCAGCAGCCGCGGUAAUACGGAGGAUCCGAGCGUUAUCCGGAUUCAUUGGGUUUAAAGGGUGCGCAGGCGGGAGUUUAAGCCAGCGGUGAAAUUGCGGGGCUCAACCUCAAAGAGCCGUUGAAACUGGGGGUCUUGAGUGCGGUAGAGGUAGGCGGAAUGCGUGGUGUAGCGGUGAAAUGCAUAGAUAUCGCGAAGAAUACCGAUUGCGAAGGCAGCGAGCCGGGUGGAAACUGACGCUGAGGUAUGAAAGCGUGGGUAGCGAACAGGAUUAGAUACCCCAGUAGUC